CCUACGGGUGGCAGCAGUGAGGAAUAUUGGUCAAUGGGCGCGAGCCUGAACCAGCCAAGUAGCGUGAAGGAUGACUGCCCUACGGUUUGUAAACUUCUUUUAUAAAGGAAUAAAGUGAGGCACGUGUGCCUUUUUGUAUGUACUUUAUGAAUAAGGAUCGGCUAACUCCGUGCCAGCAGCCGCGGUAAUACGGAGGAUCCGAGCGUUAUCCGGAUUUAUUGGGUUUAAAGGGAGCGUAGGUGGGUUGUUAAGUCAGUUGUGAAAGUUUGGGGCUCAACCGUAAAAUUGCAAUUGAUACUGGCAGCCUUGAGUUCAGUUGAGGUAGGCGGAAUGCGUGGUGUAGCGGUGAAAUGCAUAGAUAUCACGAAGAACUCCGAUUGCGAAGGCAGCUUACUAAACUGCCACUGACAUUGAUGCUCGAAAGUGUGGGUAUCAAACAGGAUUAGAUACCCUAGUAGUC
rnacentral:rRNA from 1 species